GUGCCAGCAGCCGCGGUAAUACGUAGGGUGCAAGCGUUAAUCGGAAUUACUGGGCGUAAAGCGUGCGCAGGCGGUUAUAUAAGACAGAUGUGAAAUCCCCGGGCUCAACCUGGGAACUGCAUUUGUGACUGUAUAGCUAGAGUACGGUAGAGGGGGAUGGAAUUCCGCGUGUAGCAGUGAAAUGCGUAGAUAUGCGGAGGAACACCGAUGGCGAAGGCAAUCCCCUGGACCUGUACUGACGCUCAUGCACGAAAGCGUGGGGAGCAAACAGGAUUAGAUACCCUGGUAGUCCACGCCCUAAACGAUGUCAACUGGUUGUUGGGUCUUAACUGACUCAGUAACGAAGCUAACGCGUGAAGUUGACCGCCUGGGGAGUACGGCCGCAAGGUUGAAACUUAAAGGAAUUGACGGGG
rnacentral:rRNA from 1 species